UACGUAGGGGGCUAGCGUUAUCCGGAUUUACUGGGCGUAAAGGGCGCGUAGGCGGUCUUUCAAGUCAGGAGUGAAAGGCUACGGCUCAACCGUAGUAAGCUCUUGAAACUGUAAGACUUGAGUGCAGGAGAGGAGAGUGGAAUUCCUAGUGUAGCGGUGAAAUGCGUAGAUAUUAGGAGGAACACCAGUUGCGAAGGCGGCUCUCUGGACUGUAACUGACGCUGAGGCACGAAAGCGUGGGGAGCAAACAGGAUUAGAUACCCUGGUAGUCCCU
rnacentral:rRNA from 1 species